rnacentral:tRNA from 1 species
AUUGAAGUGUCUGAUUUAAGUGUAAAAUUGUAAAUUUUAUUAAGGAUAUUUUUCCCUUCAAUA